rnacentral:rRNA from 1 species
UACGUAGGGGGCAAGCGUUGGUCCGGAAUCAUUGGGCGUAAAGCGCGCGUAGGCGGCUCGAUAAGUCCGCUGUGAAAGUCCAGGGCUCAACCCUGGAAUGCCGGUGGAUACUGCCGGGCUAGAGUCCGGAAGAGGCGAGUGGAAUUCCUGGUGUAGCGGUGAAAUGCGCAGAUAUCAGGAGGAACACCGAUGGCGAAGGCAGCUCACUGGCUCGUAUCUGACGCUCAGGCGCGACAGCGUGGGGAUCAAACAGG